UCUACUCUUUCUCUCUCAAGAAUCAUUCAUGAUUUCAAGGCCCUUUUGCCCGAUUUGAAUGAGUUUUUACAAGAAUUGAUGAUAUUUAUGCAUGUAUUGAAGGUCAAACUUAUAUUGGGUUGCCGAUUUGAAGCAUUUAAAGGUGCAUUUUUACUGGAAUUGGUGUAGUGCAGUUGUAGAUUGGUGGCAAAAUAAGUGAAGUAUUGUAUUCAAUCAGAUAUGACUGGAGGUAGAUAUCGUGCCAACAAUUCCUCAGGAGUAAGACUGCUAAUCAUGCAAAAAUUCCUUCUAUUCCAACUCCAGUAAUUGAACAAGAUGUUACAAGUUCCAUUCCUACCAUUAUGCCAACCGAUCAAACACUGGUCAUUCCUGAGAUAUCUCCUAUUUCACCUAACCAAAGCAGCCCAACAGGCCAAAAUAUGAAUGCUCAAAGCAAUACAAUAAUUGAGGUAAUAUCUAGUCAGAGAAAUGUAUCUGCUUCAGGUGAUUCCAGUUGUAACAAUUGCCGGACCCUUAUUUUUUUAACUUCUUCAGGGUUAGUACCUACUACUUAUGUGUUUACUAUUUUUUUACAUAAAUGUUGUGUAGUGUUAUUGGUGUUGGAUGUGAUGUUGUACAAGUUGGAACCAUCUUCCAAAUACUCCAGUUCCAUUCAUUGUCUUUCAAAAGUAAAGUUGAUCCUAAUGGAAUCAACUAGAAAGGUGUCUCACAAGAUAUCAAACAUGGUUAUUUUGGAGAA